rnacentral:lncRNA from 1 species
AUGACUUACCGGCGGUGGCUCCGCGGCGUGCGCCCUGCCAGGAGGGGCCUGUGCUCGAGGAGCAGGCCUGGCGAGUAGCCCAGCCACUCCACGUUGAGCCGGGACUUGCCGCGCAACAUGGUCCUCCUGGGCGGGCGGCGGCUACGCCGCCCCCUGAACUCGCGUGAACACUGGUCCUCGUCUGCGUCUCGGUCGCUGAGCUGGGGGCCGCAAGGAGACCCGAGCAUAUGAGCCGCGAAGAGGGACUACCAGCCAGAGGGCUGUGGUGCUAGGCAACUGAGCGUAUUCCGCCGACGACAACACAAAAAAGCAGUGCGCAUUAUUUCGCCACUACUUGAGCAAAUAAAUGCCUCAUUAAUUACUGCCCGCAGUGGUAGGAAGUCAAGCCCUUGGCAGCUGGGAGGAGUUAAAACACUCACCCGAGUCCGUAAAACUAGAGAAUGUCAGAGUUCAAAGAGCUCUUGCUGAGAAUGACUGUUCCAGACUCGAUGCCAGUGACCCCCAACUUCCACUUAAAAGUUAAAAACAUAUUUUGCAGCUGCUCAGAAAGCCGCCAAUGAGACAACAGGGACUCAAAUAGUAAGAACAGAUGGGCCUCCCGGGCCUGCGCAACCCGAGAGAGGUAAAAACGAAAGGGUGGGUAAGUCUGGAGUCAGGCUUGACAAAAUUAAGUUGCCACUGGCUGCUAAUAAGAGGACAGCCCUUAACAUGGUCAGCGCCUGGAAAGGGCCGCUGACCACACAGCUAUUUUCUGCACCACAUGGAUACAAAGACCACAUCUGAAAUCAUGACUAAACCAGCAGCUUAGAGUGGUGGAAAGGGCAAUGGACUGGGCAGCAGGAAGUCCAGGUUUUAGUUCAAACUGAAUAAUCCCCCUCUAGGGCUGACUGUGCUGGCUCACGCCUGUAAUCUCAACACUUUGGGAAGCUGAGGCAGGAGGAUUGCGUGAGGCCAGUAGUUCCAGAGCAGCUUGGGCAGCAUAGCAAGACUCCGUCUCUAAAAAACAAACUGUAAAAUAUUUAAUAAAAAUAAUAGUAAUCUCUAUCUGGGCCUCAUCUAGACCUUUAGGUUCAUAUGCAGAAGGGACUUGCCUUUUCUCAGAUGAGAUGUUGGACUCGGACUUUUGAGUUAAUGCUGAAAUGAGCUAAGACUUUGGGGAACUGUUGGGAAGACAUGAUCGGUUUUGAAAUGCGAGAAGGACAUGAGAUGUGGGAGGGGCCAAGGGUGGAAUUAUAAGGUUUAGCUCUGUGUCCCCACCCAAAUUUCAUCUCGAAUUGUAAUUCCUAAUGUUGGGGAAGGGACCUGGUGGGAAGUGAUUGGAUCAUGGGGGUGGACUUCCCUCAUGCUGUUCUCCUGAUAAUGAGUGAGUUCUCAUGAGAUCUGCUUGUUUAAAGGUGUAUGGCACUUCCCCCCUUGCUCACGCUUUCUCUCUUCUGCUGCCAUGAGAAGAAAGUGCUUGCUUUCCCUUUGCUUUUCUCCCAUGAUUCAGUUUCUGAGGCCUCCCAGUCAUGCUUCCUGUUAAGUCUGUGGAACUUGGAGUCAAUUAAACCUCUUUUCUUCAUAAAUUACUCAGUCUCAGGUGGUUCUUUAUAGCAGUGUGAGAACAGACUAAUGUACUAAGCAAUAAGAAAGAUGUCCAGGCCCCAAAUGCCCCAACCUGACACCUAGCUGGCUCUUAAAGAGGGUAGCUACUGUGAAGAGGGAGAAAAAGGCCUUGGCAUCUGCAGACCCUCUUUCUUUAUGAUCCUUUAAAUAUAAAGGAUGUGUUUAUGUCUGUCUUCCUAAGUAGGAAGUUUUAUUCUUUAAACUAAAUUUGACCUACUGGCAUGUGACAAGAAUCACUGACUUGUCAUUACUGGCAUGUGACAAGAAUCACUGACUUGUCAUCUAACUGACAUCUGAAGUUCCUAACAUCCUAAGGGAUGGGGACAAGUAGGAGGAAGCUACAGAAAAACAUAUAUGUCUGAGUUUUUGUUUUAAAUGUGUGAGGUAAAAGCAAAUUGUUUCUGUUCUGCUUAAACUGUUAUUUGAAAGUAUGUUGCCCCAGGCCUAGGCAUUUGCUAAGCUCUCUCAAAUUCACAUCUUCUCUUAUUCUCUCAUUCUCUGCCUCCAGUGGUUUCUAUUUAGAGGUGGAUCAACCCAUUAGCAGUCUUGGACUCUGCUCCUUUUCUGCUUCUCAGAAACCCCUUUCAGUUUUCUACCAUUUGCAGCACACUUCAUGCAAUAAUUGGCAAAACUCUGUCAAUUUAAUUAGACUUCCUGACAAUUCCAGAACAUCUCCCCCCUUCAAAGCACUUGCUUUCCAAUAGCAACUGAAACAUAAAUCCUGAUGCUUUGACUUUCAUGUUUCUCUUGAAAUAAUAUUGUUAAUGACUUUUUGUAACCAUUGGAGGCCUUUGAAUAGAGUUUGAAUUAAAAUACUGGCAACAAAUAUC